UCUCCGUUGGUGAACCAGCGGAGGGAUCAUUACCGAGUUUUCAACUCCCAAACCCCAUGUGAACUUAUACCAUUUUUUGCUUCGGCGGGUUCUCGCCCCGGGUUUUACACCCCGGAACCAGGCGGCCCGCCGGGGGACUCAAACUCUAGAUUUUUACUUUAGCAUGUCUGAGUGGAAUCAUUACAAAAUGAAUCAAAACUUUCAACAACGGAUCUCUUGGUUCUGGCAUCGAUGAAGAACGCAGCGAAAUGCGAUAAGUAAUGUGAAUUGCAGAAUUCAGUGAAUCAUCGAAUCUUUGAACGCACAUUGCGCCCGCCAGUAUUCUGGCGGGCAUGCCUGUUCGAGCGUCAUUUCAACCCUCAAGCCCCAGUGGUUUGGUGUUGGGGACCGGCGAGUACAGAGGCGGAUGGGGACUUGUGCCCCUUCUUCCUCGGCGCCGCCCCCGAAAUGAAUUGGCGGUCUCGUCGCGGCCUCCUCUGCGUAGUAGCACAACCUCGCAUCAGGAGCGCGGCGCGGCCACUGCCGUAAAACGCCCAACUUUUUUAAGAGUUGACCUCGAAUCAGGUAGGAAUACCCGCUGAACUUAAGCAUAUCAAUAAGCGGAGGAAAAGAAACCAACAGGGAUUGCCCCAGUAACGGCGAGUGAAGCGGCAACAGCUCAAAUUUGAAAUCUGGCCCCUAGGGCCCGAGUUGUAAUUUGCAGAGGAUGCUUUUGGCAAGGUGCCUUCCGAGUUCCCUGGAACGGGACGCCAUAGAGGGUGAGAGCCCCGUCUGGUUGGAUGCCGAGCCUCUGUAAAGCUCCUUCGACGAGUCGAGUAGUUUGGGAAUGCUGCUCUAAAUGGGAGGUAUAUGUCUUCUAAAGCUAAAUACCGGCCAGAGACCGAUAGCGCACAAGUAGAGUGAUCGAAAGAUGAAAAGCACUUUGAAAAGAGGGUUAAAUAGUACGUGAAAUUGUUGAAAGGGAAGCACUUAUGACCAGACUUGGACCCGGUGAAUCAUCCAGCGUUCUCGCUGGUGCACUUUGCCGGGCUCAGGCCAGCAUCAGUUUGCCCCGGGGGAUAAAGGCUUUGGGAAUGUGGCUCCCUCGGGAGUGUUAUAGCCCAUUGCACAAUACCCUGGGGCGGACUGAGGUUCGCGCAUCUGCAAGGAU
rnacentral:sRNA from 1 species